rnacentral:rRNA from 1 species
UAAAACGAGAUCCCCAAGCGUUAUCCGGAUUUAUUGGGCGUAAAGGGUCUGUAGGCGGAUUAGUAAGUUUAAUGUGAAAGCUUUCGGGCUCAACCUGAGAGAAGCAUUAAAGACUAUUAAUCUAGAGGGCGCUAGAGGUUGAUGGAACACUCGGUGUAGGGGUGAAAUCCGUUGAUAUCGAGUGGAACACCAAAAGCGAAGGCAAUCAACUGGGGUGUCCCUGACGCUGAGAGACGAAAGCGUGGGUAGCAAAAAGGAUUAGAUACCCUUGUAGUCCAUGCUGUAAACGAUGGAUACUAGCUAUUUGUAGUGUCGACCCUACGAGUGGCGAAGCUAACGCGUUAAGUAUCCCGCCUGGGAAGUACGGUCGCAAGACUA